CCUACGGGUGGCAGCAGUGGGGGAUAUUGGACAAUGGGGGGAACCCUGAUCCAGCGACGCCGCGUGAGUGAAGAAGUAUUUCGGUAUGUAAAGCUCUGUCAGCAGGGAAGAAAGAAAUGACGGUACCUGACCAAGAAGCCCCGGCUAACUACGUGCCAGCAGCCGCGGUAAUACGUAGGGGGCAAGCGUUAUCCGGAAUUACUGGGUGUAAAGGGUGUGCAGGCGGUUUUGCAAGAUGGAUGUGAAAGCCCCGGGCUUAACCUGGGAAAGCCAUACAUGACUGCAAGACUAGAGUGCGUCAGAGGGGGGUGGAAUUCCAAGUGUAGCAGUGAAAUGCGUAGAUAUGACGAAGAACCCCGAUUGCGAAGGCAGCUUGCUGCAGCGGAACUGACGCUGAUGCUCGAAAGCGCGGGUAUCGAACAGGAUUAGAUACCCGGGUAGUC
rnacentral:rRNA from 1 species